rnacentral:rRNA from 1 species
GACAGAGGGUGCAAACGUUGUUCGGAUUUACUGGGCGUAAAGCGCGUGUAGGCGGCUUGGCAAGUCGGAUGUGAAAGCCCACGGCUCAACCGUGGAAGCGCAUCCGAAACGGCCUCGCUCGAGUCUCGGAGAGGAAGGUGGAAUGCUUGGUGUAGAGGUGAAAUUCGUAGAUAUCAAGCAGAACACCUGCGGCGAAGGCGGCCUUCUGGACGAUGACUGACGCUGAGACGCGAAAGCGUGGGGAGUAAACAGG